AACUCCCCCCAUCUCACAUUUCAGACACAAUCGAACCUCUCACAGUCCGCUCACCUCUGACCUUUCACAAUUGCGCUCACCUCUAACCUCUCUCACAUCACAGUUCCGAACUCCAUUUCCUAUCAAAACAUAAUAUCUCAACAUCGCAGCAUAUGACAUCUUUAAUUAGGGUUUUGGUGUUCUCGAUUAGGGGAUUUUGUUAACUUCUCGAUUGGGGUUUUGUUCUCGGUUCAAGUUCAAGUCAAGUUCAGUUAUCUCGAUUAGGGUUCUUAAAGUUCUCAAUUAGGACAUCGCGAUAUAUAGGGCUUUGAUUGAUUGAUCCACAGUACAUCUUAUUAAUUUCUGAGUUAGAACUUGAAGAAGUGGUAGAAGAUAUACGACUAAAGUGUGCCAGGUUUCAAAGAAUAUUGACAUCACAGAUUAUAAGAAUCUCUGUGCUGCUGCUUUUCUGUUUCUCAGGUCAUCAGUUUUUUUAAUAAUUGUUUUUGUAUUCCCAUGAAACUCUUCAGGCUUAGCACUGUUGUAUCUGUAAAUGUUGUAAAGAUUCAGAACCUUAUUAUUGCUCAAGAAACUAAUGAAGUUGACGGUAUUGUUUGCUAUGGAUGAGGCUGACCGGAUUAUGAUAAUACCAAGACAAGAAAAUGCGGACGCAGAUUUUUACAGCAUUUACGAUGAUCAAAUAAAUAUGGUUUUGGAGCAGUCGGGAAUACAACCAAGUCUGCAGGUGGCUUUACUACAGUCUACAGGGCAAAGAGAAAGUGUAUGUGAUGGAGUGACACUUGCUCUUAAAUGUUGAAAAUAAGGAGAAAAUGCUUUUGGAUUCAAGAGAAGACUGGUGUUCUACCCGGAAAAAUGCAUGACCUUGUGGUAAUCCAGUCAAGCUAGUUGCCAUCCAUGGGCAUUAUGCAGAUGUAGGUGACUUUUCCGCUCAACUAUCUUGUGCUUUAAAUGCAAGGCCUUGGUGUUUUAUAGGAAGAGGAUCAGAGUGUUAUAAUACCUGUACGUGGGUCUACGAAUCUUGAUUCUUGGAUGGGUGAAUAAUAGUCCUGACAUUUAUAAAGAGCUGAUCAGCCUGGCAUAGAAGACAAUGUACGGAACGAAUAAUGAAGUAGAAAGUCCUGCUUCUAUCAAGAGAAAGAGGACUCUACCCCCUGCAAAAAAGUGGAUAAUAACAUCAUUUACGUAACUCCAAUGCCUUUGCAUUCUUCAAUAGAAAUGAAAUUAUCACUUAGCACCCAACACUUACAUGUAAACUUUAUUUUAGUUGUUUUGAUGUUCUAGUUAGAAAUUAUGAUUGGGUUGCUUUGUAGUUUUCUUGUUUAGGAAGGGAUUUAUGAAUGUACAAGACAGAUAUUGUCAAAUUUUUAUUGAAAGUGUUGCAUUUUACUUUUUUUA